rnacentral:rRNA from 1 species
CAGCCGCCACGGUAAUACAGAGGGUGCGAGCGUUAAUCGGAUUUACUGGGCGUAAAGCGUGCGUAGGCGGCUAAUUGAGUCGGAUGUGAAAUCCCCGAGCUUAACUUGGGAAUUGCAUUCGAUACUGGUUAGCUAGAGUGUGGGAGAGGAUGGUAGAAUUCCAGGUGUAGCGGUGAAAUGCGUAGAGAUCUGGAGGAAUACCGAUGGCGAAGGCAGCCAUCUGGCCUAACACUGACGCUGAGGUACGAAAGCAUGGGGAGCAAACAGGAUUAGAUACCCCGGUAGUCCCUGUCUCUUAUCC